rnacentral:rRNA from 1 species
GUGGGGAAUAUUGGGCAAUGGGGGAAACCCUGACCCAGCGACGCCGCGUGAGGGAAGACGGCCUUCGGGUUGUAAACCUCUUUUGUACGGGAAGAAGGAAGUGACGGUACUGUACGAAUAAGUCCCGGCUAACUACGUGCCAGCAGCCGCGGUAAUACGUAGGGGACGAGCGUUGUCCGGAAUUACUGGGCGUAAAGGGCGCGCAGGCUGUGCUGCAAGUCAGCUGUGAAAUGUCUGGGCUUAACCCGGGCAUGCGGUUGAGACUGCAGUGCGGGAGUGCUGUAGAGGCAAGUGGAAUUCCCAGUGUAGCGGUGAAAUGCGUAGAUAUUGGGAAGAACACCGGUGGCGAAGGCGACUUGCUGGGCAGCAACUGACGCUGAGGCGCGAAAGCCAGGGGAGCAAACGGGAUUAGAAACCCUUGUAGUCC